ensembl:lncRNA
UGGUGGGGGUUUCAGUCUGAGCAAAACAACUAAAAGGACCUGGCUUAGAAUAAUAACUAUAGCCUUUGAGGAACUUUUUUUUUUUUAAGUCCUUGACUUUGUUUAAUGACUAAGUCGUUGUUAUUUUGUCUUACUUGACUGUUUUCCUUUCUUUCUGCAUUUUCUCACUCCUCUGAAUUUAUUCUUGGAAUUCAAGGAAACCCUAGGAGGUUAAAGGUUUUUUGUUUUGUUUUUUAACAAACAAGAGGAUAAAUUGACACACAGAUUGGGUCAGCGACGGGGAACAUUCUCCAUCAUCACGUGGAAUUGUCAUGUCCCUCACUGCGAAUCCAUGGAGAAUACAGGUUCUUGCAAUGGGAUGACCAGAUCAGCUGCAUCAGCCACCCCCCCCGCCGCCCCCACCCCUGGUCUGGCUAGAAGUGCAGAUUCUCCAGCCCUACACCAGACCUUCUCACCAGAAUCUUCAAUGCUGGAGGCCAGCCAUCUGUGUUUUAACAACUCUCCCUGUUGUUAAAAUCCCCACCAAUGAUUCUGAUUCACACACAAGUUUAAGAACUAUUGACUAGGGCUUCCCUGGUGGCUCAGUGGUAAAGAAUCUGCCUGCCAAUGCAGGAGACACAGGUUCCAUCCCUGAUCCGAGAAGAUCCCACAUGCCAAGAAGCAACUAACCCCAUGAGCCACAACUACUGAUUCUGUGCCCUAGAGCUGGGGAGCCACACUACUGAAGCCCAACACUCUGUAGAAUUCUGCAACAAGAGAAGCUAUGGCAAUGAGAAGCCCACGCACCACAACUACAGAGUCGCCCCUACUCCUCACAGUUAGAGAAAAGCCUGCUGUCAGCAGCGAAGACCCAGCACAGCCGAAAAUAAAUCAAAUUAUAUUUUAAAAAAAGAGAAUCAUUAACUCAAAGAUAUAAAGGUAAGUACUCUAAGAAAAGAAAAAUAACACAACAGGUUCCAAGGGGCCCCACCAAGGACCCAGUAGAAGAUGCUCAUUUGUCAUUUGAGAUCUUUGCGUUCUCUUUGCUUUGUUUUAUUUUGUGUGUAUAUUUAAUUGAAAUCUGGUUGAUUUACAAUAUUAUAUCAGUAUCAGGUUACAGCGUUAUGCAUGAUUUAGUGUUUGCAGACAACACACCAUUAAAAGUUAUUAGAGAAGAAUGGAUUUAUUUCAUAUUUAGAAGCAAUGCAUCAGCGUACUUCUUUGUGGAACUUUUUUUUAAAGUAUCCUAGAUGCUAAAUAAUAGAAAGAUGGAUAAACAGAUGAACUGAGGGGUCAGGGGUCCACCCACCACAAGAACCCAGACCCAUUUGACUCUGUGAUUCUGGUGUCCAGCGUCAGAAGAUGGGCAGAAAUGAGCUUCAACAUCAAGGCUGGAGCUGGACACAGCCUGGCAGCUUAUGAGGACAAGCUGGCAUCUGGCCACCAGAUGUCUUUCUGACAAGGACAAAAAUUCCUGCCACCGGGAAUCCCCUAAUGUAAGAGUUUUUCCCAAUGGGAGGAUGUGGAGCAACUGGGCCCUCAGGCUCUGCUGGAGGGGAAAGAAGA